rnacentral:rRNA from 1 species
GACGAACGCUGGCGGCGUGCCUAACACAUGCAAGUCGAACGGAACUGUUUUGAAAGAUUUCUUCGGAAUGAAUUUGAUUUAGUUUAGUGGCGGACGGGUGAGUAACGCGUGAGUAACCUGCCUUCAAGAGGGGAAUAACAUUCUGAAAAGAAUGCUAAUACCGCAUGACAUAUCGGAACCACAUGGUUUUGAUAUCAAAGAUUUUAUCGCUUGAAGAUGGACUCGCGUCCGAUUAGUUAGUUGGUGAGGUAACGGCUCACCAAGACCGCGAUCGGUAGCCGGACUGAGAGGUCGAACGGCCACAUUGGGACUGAGACACGGCCCAGACUCCUACGGGAGGCAGCAGUGGGGGAUAUUGCGCAAUGGGGGCAACCCUGACGCAGCAACGCCGCGUGAAGGAUGAAGGUUUUCGGAUUGUAAACUUCUUUUAUUAAGGACGAAAAAUGACGGUACUUAAUGAAUAAGCUCCGGCUAACUACGUG